AUAAAUAAGCGGAGGAAAAGAAACCAAACGGGAUUCCCUGAGUAACGGCGAGCGAAAGGGGAACUGUCCAGCGCCAAGUCUUGACACCUAUGGUGUUCAAGAGAUGCGGUGUUCAUAUCUCGCUGCAUCAUGCACUGUUCCAGGUUUCAAGUUCCCUCGACCGGGACUUCCAGAGCGGGUGUUAGGCCCAUAGAGACCAGGAGCCGGUGCAUGCCAGCAAGAUAUUUUAGAGUCAGGUUGCUUGAGAGUGCAGCUUAAAGUCGGUGGUAAACUCCAUCCAAGACUAAAUACUACAGCGAGACCGAUAGCAAACAAGUACCGUGAGGGAAAGUUGCAAAGCACUUUGAAGAGAGAGUUCAAAAGUACGUGAAACCACUGGGAGGCAAACAGAUGGAACCACGAAGUGUGCGCCUCGGUCGAUUCAAUCAUCCGUACGCUUUAACCRCGUAUGGUAUUUUGGAGCUCUUCGGAGUUUGUACCAUGCSGGUUGUCAGAAGCAUACGGAUGGUGCAUUUCGUGCCGGGGAUGCUAAGCCACGUUCAACCAGAGGGCUGGGACGGCCGUAAGACAGGACCGAAGAAAGGUAACCGUCGGGUGCUUGCRCCUGAUGGCGUUAUAGUCUUUGGUCGGCACCGUCACCUAGUGUACUGGUUGAUGAAAUUUCUCCGCAAGGAGUUUGGAAGCUCUGGCUGCCUGUUGCCGCUAGUCGGUGUUGCGGUGCGUUCUUUGCGUAUCUUUCGAUGCGAAAAGGCGUGCCAAAAGCRUCGGCUAGUGGUGGCUUGCACGUCAGGGUGGAACUGUGGCGCGAGUAGGUCGGUCUCCAUCUGACCCGUCUUGAAACACGGACCAAGGAGCCUAUCAUAUACGCGAGUCGCUCGGUCUUGUUUAGGCCUGGGAGGCGCAAUGAAAGUAAAGUUACGAGGCUUCGGUCGCAGUAACGGCUCGCCUACUUCGUUUUUUUGGCGAUAUGGCGAAGCUGGAGCGUAUACGAUGGUACCCGAAAGAUGGUGAACUAUGCCUGGGCAAGACGAAGCCAGAGGAAACUCUGGUGGAGGUCUGUAGCGAUUCUGACGUGCAAAUCGAUCGUCAGACCUGGGUAUAGGGGCGAAAGACUAAUCGAACCAUCUAGUAGCUGGUUCCCUCCGAAGUUUCCCUCAGGAUAGCAGGCGCUUAUUUAUCUUUAUUGUUUAACACAGUCUCAUCCGGUAAAGCUAAUGAUUAGAGGUCUUGGGGUUGAAACGACCUCAACCUAUUCUCAAACUUUAAAUGGGUGAGAUGGUUGACUUGCUUGAUUGAAGCCAACCAUUUGGAUGCAAGUGCCUAGUGGGCCAUUUUUGGUAAGCAGAACUGGCGCUGUGGGAUGAACCAAACGUUGAGAUAAGGCAUCAAAUGCGUACGCUCAUCAGACCCCAUGAAAGGUGUUGGUUGCUAUAGACAGCAGGACGGUGGCCAUGGAAGUCGGAAUCCGCUAAGGAGUGUGUAACAACUCACCUGCCGAAGCAACUAGCCCUGAAAAUGGACGAUGCUGUAGCGUGGAGCCGAUACUCGACCGUGAUGGCGAUUCUUUCGAGAAUGCGAUGCGAUCACGAGUAGGAGGGCCGCAGUGUUAGCGUUGAAGGUGUCCGGCGUGAGCCGGCCUGGAGCUAUCAUUGUUGCAGAUCUUGGUGGUAGUAGCAAAUACUCAAGUGAGAAUCUUGAGGACUAACGUGGAGAAGGGUUCCAUGUGAACAGCAGUUGGACAUGGUUCAGUCGGUCCUAAGGAGGCGGAGAAAUCCGUUGAAACGGCCUGAUUAAAUUUAUUUWURWUAWAAGUUACAGGCUGAUUCUCCGAAAGGGAAUCGGGUCAAUAUUCCCGAACUGAGACACUGGGGAAGUGUCCUCGGACACUAUUGCGGUAACGCCAUCAAAUUCGGAGACAUCGGCGGCAGUCCUGGGAAGAGUUGUCUUUUCUCUAUAAGGCGUCGAAUCCAUGAAAACAGCUUGUCUGGAGAUAUGGAUGUUGGCGCCGAAGAGCUCAGCGGUUCUUGCUGAGUCCGGUGCGCUGUUGUCGGUCCUUGAAAAUCCGAAGGCGAGUUCUACCCCGGUGCUCAGCCGUACCAAUAUCCGCAGCAGGUCUCCAAGGUUAACAGCCUCUAGUUUCUAGAAUAAUGUAGGUAAGGGAAGUCGGCAAAACUGAUCCGUAACUUCGGGAUAAGGAUUGGCUCUGAAGGAUGGGCCGUUCGGGCUUUGGUCAGAAGCAAGUGAUGCGUCUGACUGGGACUGGUCGCUGGCAACGGCAACCGGACCCGUGUUGGCGUCUGCUUGGGGACGGCCAUCGCUACGCCCGGYCACCCCGUGUGGCCGGUGUCGUUUCGGGCGGCAUCUAACAUCCGACUCAGAACUGGCACGGACCCGGGGAAUCCGACUGUCUAAUUAAAACAAAGCAUUGCGAUGGCCGGAAAUCGGUGAUGACGCAAUGUGAUUUCUGCCCAGUGGUAUGAAUGUCAAUGUGAAGAAAUUC
rnacentral:rRNA from 2 species